rnacentral:rRNA from 1 species
GAUCCUGGCUCAGGAUGAACGCUAGCGGCAGGCUUAACACAUGCAAGUCGAGGGGUAGAAGAAGCUUGCUUUUUUGAGACCGGCGCACGGGUGCGUAACGCGUAUGCAAUCUACCUUUCACAAAGGGAUAGCCCAGAGAAAUUUGGAUUAAUACCUUAUAGUAUAAUUGAAUGGCAUCAUUUAAUUAUUAAAGAUUUAUCGGUGAAAGAUGAGCAUGCGUCCCAUUAGCUAGUUGGUAUGGUAACGGCAUACCAAGGCUACGAUGGGUAGGGGUCCUGAGAGGGAGAUCCCCCACACUGGUACUGAGACACGGACCAGACUCCUACGGGAGGCAGCAGUGAGGAAUAUUGGACAAUGGGCGCAAGCCUGAUCCAGCCAUGCCGCGUGCAGGAUGACGGUCCUAUGGAUUGUAAACUGCUUUUAUACAGGAAGAAACACCUCUACGUGUAGAGACUUGACGGUACUGUAAGAAUAAGGAUCGGCUAACUCCGUGCCAGCAGCCGCGGUAAUACGGAGGAUCCAAGCGUUAUCCGGAAUCAUUGGGUUUAAAGGGUCCGUAGGCGGUCAGAUAAGUCAGUGGUGAAAGCCCAUCGCUCAACGGUGGAACGGCCAUUGAUACUGUCUGACUUGAAUUAUUAGGAAGUAACUAGAAUAUGUAGUGUAGCGGUGAAAUGCUUAGAGAUUACAUGGAAUACCAAUUGCGAAGGCAGGUUACUACUAAUAUAUUGACGCUGAUGGACGAAAGCGUGGGUAGCGAACAGGAUUAGAUACCCUGGUAGUCCACGCCGUAAACGAUGGAUACUAGCUGUUGGGAGCAAUCUCAGUGGCUAAGCGAAAGUGAUAAGUAUCCCACCUGGGGAGUACGAACGCAAGUUUGAAACUCAAAGGAAUUGACGGGGGCCCGCACAAGCGGUGGAGCAUGUGGUUUAAUUCGAUGAUACGCGAGGAACCUUACCAAGGCUUAAAUGUAGAUUGACCGGUUUGGAAACAGAUCUUUCGCAAGACAAUUUACAAGGUGCUGCAUGGUUGUCGUCAGCUCGUGCCGUGAGGUGUCAGGUUAAGUCCUAUAACGAGCGCAACCCCUGUUGUUAGUUGCCAGCGAGUCAUGUCGGGAACUCUAACGAGACUGCCAGUGCAAACUGUGAGGAAGGUGGGGAUGACGUCAAAUCAUCACGGCCCUUACGCCUUGGGCUACACACGUGCUACAAUGGCCGGUACAGAGAGCAGCCACUGGGUGACCAGGAGCGAAUCUACAAAACCGGUCACAGUUC